rnacentral:rRNA from 1 species
UACGUAGGGGGCUAGCGUUGUCCGGAAUCAUUGGGCGUAAAGAGCGUGUAGGCGGCCCGGUAAGUCCGCUGUAAAAGUCAAAGGCUCAACCUUUGAAUGUCAGUGGAUACUGCCGGGCUAGAGUCCGGAAGAGGCGAGUGGAACUCCUGGUGUAGCGGUGGAAUGCGCAGAUAUCAGGAGGAACACCAAUGGCGAAGGCAGCUCACUGGGACGGUAUUGACGCUGAGACGCGAAAGCGUGGGGAGCAAACAGG